GAUCUCUCUCUCUGCGGAAGCCAGCCACCGCUCUCCAAGGACUCUCGAGCAGCUCCAUCUACAGAUUCACAUGGAGAAGAAUUAAGGGUUCCUGCCAAUCACCAGCACCACUUUGCCAGCCUUGUAAGUGGGCCACCUUGGAAUUGGAGCCUCCAGUUCCUACUGACAUCUGACUGCAACAUCAUGAGAGACCCUGAGUUUGAACCACCCAGCUGAGCUGCUUCUGAGCUAACCCACUGAAACGGUGAAAGUACCUGAAUGAAACAACACCCAGUAGCCACUAGCACACCUAGCUCCCAGAUCUGUUUUUGAUGCCAUUCUUCAGUAAAAGGAAGCAAGGCUGCUUGGAGAAAUUGCUAUCAAGGACUGGGGUAGAAAAUAUACAAGAUGAAAUUGGAGCAUCUUGUAGUGCUUGAAUGCCUUAAGAAACUUAAGAACUUAAUACAAAAAAUUUAAAUGUACUCCCUUUAAGGGAAAGCCACCAGCAAUUUCUAAACUUAAAGCAGGAAGAUGAAAGGAUAGAAUAAAUUGUGCCUUAUAUUCUACAAUUCCAGAAGAAACAUGAGCCCAACUCCGGGGUUGCACACAGUCAUGCCAGUGUGAUUUGGGGAGGAAUCCUGAGGCUCCAGCCCUGGGCUCCAAGUUUUGAUCCCUCAGCAUUGGGUACAGAAGGCAGAUUGAUGCUGCUGACAGUUGGCAUCUGUGUGAAGAUGUGAAUGGAGGAGGCAGAGUAGGCAGUGAGUGCCGCAGCCACAGCUUGUGUUCUCUGCAGCCCUGGCACAGAAGAUAGGAACACUCAUGGGGGAUGCGGCCACUGUGAUGUCUUCCCACACAAGAAGUGCCAAGUGCUUUUCUCAUGCUUUUCUGGAUUGUCCCAUGGUGGACGAGUCAGCAGGAGUGAGAUGGAGCAGCACAGUAGAGGGCACCUGCUCUGUUUUGUCCCAGGCCAGGAUAUCGUUGUACAUAUUCUCAGCUAAGUGAGCACCAAUAGAGGAGAGGGAGAGUCUCAUGGAAGUUCCUUCUAAGCCUUUGGCUCUUUUUACCUUCAACAAGGUGUGCCACCUCUUUGAUCCAGCAAGUGGGAAGAACAGUCCCGGCCUCUUUGCACACAAGACCGUGAUACCAAUGCACCAUCACAGGCCCCACAGGGGAGCUGUCCGCUUCCCCACACAGCUGCUAGGGGCUCUUUUGCAUGUUCCCAACCUUUCCUGCCUUUAUCUGAUAUUGGUUCCUUAGAUCCUGGGAUGAGGAGGUGGACCAGCAGAAGGUGGGCUUGUGAAGGCAGCCCGGGGUCCAAAUCCUCCUGGCUCUUCAGCUUAGCGGGUUAGUUAACAUUCAGAAGCCUUCAUCUCCCAUCUGCAAAAUGGGCAUGUCCAACUCAGAAGCUGCCUUGAAGAAAGGGUCUACCCAGCAUGGUGCGUGGAGCCUAAGCAGUCAGUACUUCAGGACUUCACCCGGCCCCUUUCCAAUAACUGCUGCUGUCGCCCUCACAGGAUGUCACCUUCAGCGUCUGAAAGCUGGGUUUGAUGCGUCUGGAAAGGCGUCCCUGACAGGCGUCGUUGCCAGGAGCCCCUAGUGCCACCAGCAGCCAGCAGGGGAGGGCGUCCUCUGCCCGCUCACUUCUGACCCUUCUCUCGUUGCACCCGGAACAUGGUGCAGCUGGGAGCAGCCUGGGCUGCGCGGAAGGCUCAGAUUUGGGGACGGCCCUUGCCAGUGACUGUGAGCUGGGGUGUCUUGGAAACUCCCAGUCUCAGCUUCUCCAUUUAUAAGAUGAGAAUGAUCAUACCAGACUCAGGCAAGGUUGUUUGUGCAUUAGUGAAAUCAGACGUAUUAAAUAAAGUACCACAUUGAUCGUGGAGUUGUUGAAUAACCA
rnacentral:lncRNA from 10 species